rnacentral:rRNA from 1 species
AUGUGAAAGCCCCGGGCUUAACCUGGGAAUUGCAUUUAAAACUGGUUAUCUAGAGUAUUGUAGAGGAAGGUAGAAUUCCACGUGUAGCGGUGAAAUGCGUAGAGAUGUGGAGGAAUACCGGUGGCGAAGGCGGCCUUCUGGACAAAUACUGACGCUGAGAUGCGAAAGCGUGGGGAGCAAACAGGAUUAGAUACCCUGGUAGUCCACGCUGUAAACGAUGUCGAUUUGGAGUUUGUUGCCUUGAGUGAUGGGCUCCGAAGCUAACGCGAUAAAUCGACCGCCUGGGGAGUACGGCCGCAAGGUUAAAACUCAAAUGAAUUGACGGGGGCCCGCACAAGCGGUGGAGCAUGUGGUUUAAUUCGAUGCAACGCGAAGAACCUUACCUGGUCUUGACAUCCACAGAAUCUUGCAGAGAUGCGAGAGUGCCUUCGGGAACUGUGAGACAGGUGCUGCAUGGCUGUCGUCAGCUCGUGUUGUGAAAUGUUGGGUUAAGUCCCGCAACGAGCGCAACCCUUAUCCUUUGUUGCCAGCGGUUCGGCCGGGAACUCAAAGGAGACUGCCGUUGAUAAAGCGGAGGAAGGUGGGGACGACGUCAAGUCAUCAUGGCCCUUACGACCAGGGCUACACACGUGCUACAAUGGCGUAUACAAAGGGAUGCGAAGGUGCGAACUGGAGCGGACCUCACAAAGUACGUCUAAGUCCGGAUUGGAGUCUGCAACUCGACUCCAUGAAGUCGGAAUCGCUAGUAAUCGUGAAUCAGAAUGUCACGGUGAAUACGUUCCCGGGCCUUGUACACACCGCCCGUCACACCAUGGGAGUGGGUU